rnacentral:tRNA from 1 species
GCUUGCGUAGUAUAAUCAUUAUUUUUGACUUCCAAUCAAAAGAUCUUCAAACAGCACAAGUA